CCUCGUUCUAGUUAUUGUGCUACGUCAAUCAAAUAAAACACAAUGUCAAUCAUAUGGCUUGAUCUACAGGCACCGUAAAUGAAGCGGCAAGAUUCUCCACGGAGGCAAACUCCAGUUAUCGAUUAUGUGUUUGAGCUCGAAUUCCAAAAGCAAUGCCGACAUGGUUUUGGGAGCUAUGAUUUAUCGGUAGCUCUACGACGAGUUGGGCUAGAGCCAUGCGUAAUCUACGAGUUUUGCUGCGGAUCCUUUUGAACAGCAGAAUGACCAAUUCUACUGAUUGCAGCGGCGUGAUUGGAAACACUGUGCACGCUUUGCCGGCAAAUGCAAACGAAGUCCCGCACAGCAAUGUCGAUUGGAAACUGAGGAGGAAGUCCACUUUGACGACUCUCAAGAAUAGGUCAGUCUCACGUGUUUGGUCUGCGACGCCAUUAAAUCGGGGGCCAUAGUUCCCAGCAUCUUCGACUGAGGUUUAUUUCACCCGUAAGUCUAGUUGUAUCGUAGGCUUAGCUGCUUGCGGCUCGGUCGCUGGUCGUUGCAAGGAAACUCUUUCCCUGUUUACUUUGGCUGCGUGAGUUUCAUUUUGCUUCUGCGUCAAGGGAAGGCCAGGGUUCAGUUUUACAUGUCCAUGUGGAUGGUGCUUGAUGAAUGCUGUCGAUGUUCGUUUGUCAAUUUUCAGUUUGGAUCUGCUUGUUGCCAAUCCUUGGCAUCAGAGGGCAGAUUGGUUUGUUGAAAUUGAAUUGUGCAGAGUGAUGAUGUCAACAGUGUAGGCAGAUUUUUCUGAGAGUGUAGAAUAUUGAGUGAGUGGCGGGGUCGUGAAGUCUUAGCAUUGUCGAAAGGGAUGAUCCGGAAGCUUGCAGGGUUGGAUUUCGUGUUGUAGCUGGAUUUUGAGUCGUGAGCCCUGAGUUGGCGAGAUUGGUGAGGAUUUGGAGUUUGAGAUUGAAUUAGGUUGGAAGUGGAGAUCAAGGAAUUUGGAAUGGCGAGUUUCCUCGAGAGCAACGGCGUGGUCAAUGUUUAAUUGGAAUGGUGUGGAUGGUGAGCUAAUGUGCUUGCUCUUAUCAAGUAAGAGAGUCGAUAGCGAGAGACGGAUUGCCCAGCUUUUGGAGUUUGAGGCGACUCUACAGCUAAAGGAGAAGGUUGACAUCGUGAAGGAAAUGUUAAUGUGAUGACCUGGUGCAAUAAGCUCCAGCAGAAGAUCGGCCUAUGCUGCUCGUUUAGUCAUUUCCUUUGAUAAGCAGUUAGUGUUUUUCAAAGCAGAAAACGAACUGUUUAAGAUGUCAGGAGUGGGGUCGGGAGUGGGUUGGGUGUUAUCGCCGCCGCCUAGCAAGGACAAUGGGGGAGCUGCACACUGUAGCCCACAUGGGCUGAUUGCUUACGGUGCAGGCAGCAGCGUAGUGGUGAUGGAGCCUCGAACCAUGCAACUUGUUGCGGUACUGCCUAUGAUCGCCCCCAAGAAUGCCUCCUUGCAGCCAGCUCCUUUCGUGACUGCUGUACAGUGGACUCCGGAGGGAAUUUCUCGUGACCUCGUGGGAGAGGAUUUUUCUACAGCUCAUAUGCAGUUAGCAGUGGGUGACCGACACGGUCGUGUUGCUAUUUGGGAUGUUGCGUCAGGGGACAUCUGUACUUGGCUAGACGUCGAUGCGGAAAAGGGAAAACAAGGCAUUCAAGAUGUAUGUUGGGUAUAUGGGCAGCCUUGGUUACUGGCUGUCAUUCAUGGCCCUACAAGUUUAAAUAUUUGGGAUCCUGUAACAGGGCGCUGUAUAUGGAGGUUCGACUCAGGCGGGGAGCUUCUUGGAUGUGUGAGAGCCGAUCCUUUCGAUCCUCGGCAGUUCUGUCUGGUUGGGCUUCGGGGCCUACUAAUGUCGGUUCUUGUAGCCGGGGUUUCGGAUUCAGAGAUACUCACCAAGCAGUACAUAAUUCCUGGACAAGACGAGAAAGGAUUGAUGGUUGAAAAGACCAGGGAUGGAACUAGCAGUUCUGGAUCAUCAUCAUCUGGAACGCCUGCUCUAGCAUUCGCACCCGGGGUUAUUGUCCGGUGUUUGUACUCCAGGACCAGACGAGGUUUGCUGUAUGUGAUGAUGCCGCGUGAAAUCGUUGUUUUUGACUUAGCUUUUGGAAUGCCCUUGGCCACAACGUCCUUACCACGUGGGUGCUCAAAACUUCUCGAUCUAUUGGCUUGUGCCGAUGGUGACGUUCUUUAUUGUGCUCACCAGGAUGGCAAAGUUAGUGCCUGGAGAAGAAAAGAGGAUAAACAGGUUUUCUCAUUAUGCUUUAUGGGUACGUUGAUGCCCUCCAUCGGAUCCCCUGUUCCUGCACCGGCCGUUCUUGCUGUAGUACACUGCCCUUUGCAACUUCAAGUGCAGAAAUCCUCAAACGAUAAUCAGUCUAGUAGUCUGCAGGUUGAUUCCCUUCCAGGAGCCAUUUCUGUCUCAAGUACAUUGGCACAAAAUGACCAGCUUGUUGAAGUCAAGAUCCUCCCCGCUCUUGAGGCCACGCUUUUAUCUAUUACUGAUGAUGGUCGACUAUUGCGCUGGGUCAUCAAUGGAGAUGAUGCCGAAAGUGAGCCUAUAUCUUUAACUGGGACAAAGUUAACGCAUAGGAACUCCGGAGAGUCAAACACAACUGGGGAACUUGUGCACUCCAAUUCAAAUGGAUUGAAUUCUGAAGCUCUUUUCAAGCUUGAUCUGACAGGACAAUUACAACUUCUUUCAUCUGUUGUAACCACAUUAGCUGUUCCAAUGCCCUCCAUCCUCGCUAUGGGCUUGGGGGGAGAAGGAAGCAAUGCAGGAGCUGUAUCAGUUCCUCUAGUGGCAUUAGCUUGCCAAGGAGGCAGUCUAGAGCUUGUUGAUACAGCUGCAAAUACUAUAACUGCCUCAUUUGCUGUACACAGCAAUCAGACAGUUCGAGGAGUUCGCUGGCUUGGAAAUACACGUCUUGUCUCGUUCUCAUACACUGAGGUGAAGGGAAAAGGGGGCGGCUUCGUGAACCGUCUGGUUUUGACAUGUGUGCGUAGUGGCCAUAGCAAGGUUUUCCGGGUGAUUCAAAAGCCAGAACGUUCUCCAAUGCGUGCCCUCCGCACCUCGCCAUCUGGCAGGUACCUAUUGAUCCUGUUCAAGGAGGCUCCUGCAGAGGUGUGGGAAGUGUCAAGUACUCCACAGAUGAUAAGGUCUGUGGCUCUACCUUUCACGGUGAUGGAGUGGGCGCUUCCUCCAGCCCCCAAGGCAGCCGCUGCAGCAGCCGCCUCUUGGGGAAAGAAAACAGCUAUGAUGAAAGAGCGACCUACUAUUGCCUCAGCAGCAGCCUCUGCUUCUGCUCCCAUAAUAUCUGGUGCAGAUUCACAAGACUCUGAAAUUGCUGAAAGUUUUGCGUUUGCUCUAGUAAACGGCUCUCUUGGAGUUUUUGAACUACGAGGUAGAAGAGUUCGGGACUUCAAACCCAAAUUUCCUUCCGCUUCAUUUGUCUCUGCGGAUGUACUAAUAACUGCCAUGGCAUAUCGCACACCUCAUGUGGUCAUGGGAGACCGGACAGGUAGUAUAAGAUGGUGGGAUGUAGUGACAGGGCUGUCAUCAUCUUUUAGUACUCAUCGCGGAGGCGUUCGUCGCAUCAAAUUUGCACCUGUAAGAAUUGGUGAUCCUACAAGAGGUCGCAUAGCUGUCCUCUUCAAUGACCACAGUUUUGCUGUGUAUGAUCUUGAUACGCACGAUCCAUUAACUCAUUCACUAGUACAACCUCACCUUGGAGGCAUAUUGGUGCUUGAACUGGACUGGUACCCGCUGCGUCCAGACAAGAAUGAACCUUUGCUCUUGUGCAUAGCUGGUGCAGAUGGUAGUUUUCGACUUCUUGAGGUUCAAAAUCUUGCAGGAAGCAAGUCUAGCCAGCUGGCAAAGCCAACGCAAUGGCAACGCUACCGACCCAUGCCCUUGUGCUGUGCAGCCCUGCUCCCACCUCCUCAUGCUUUGUCUUUGCGCAUUAUACUGCAGCAAGGAGUGCAACCUUCCUGGCUUGCAAUAGAGACAACUUCCACAGGUGAAGCAAGUAUUCAAAGAACUCCAAGUCAGGCUUUGGGAAGUCGUGGAGGGGAUUUGCGACACUACCUCAUACCUCAUAACCCUGUUCUGGGAGAGACCGUUUUUGCUGAAGUUCUGUUGAAAGCUUUGGAACCUUAUCGAAGAGCAGGUCGUUUGUUGGACGAGGAAAGGGUAGAGCAGUAUGCAGCUGUAUUCAAGCAAGGCGUAGCAACAAGAUGUGCUUUUGCAGCAGCACAGUUUGGAGAAAAUUCGGAGGCUGUAUUCUGGCUUCAACUUCCUCGUGCGCUUGCACUUCUUAGUUAUGGUUCUGCCGGGCCAACUGCGUUCUGGAGACCUAUGAGGCAAAGCAAUUCCUCCGCAACAGGAGAAAACUCUCAAGAAUCAGAAGUUAAGGAAUCGUACGACUCCGAAGUUCCAGUCAACGAGUCAUUGGAUAGUGGAAUGACAUUCAUAAAUCCUAAGGUUGCUAUACCAUUUACUCCGGUGGGUGUACUGCCAGCUGCCCCUUUUAAGCUGACACACGGAUGCACGGAUAUCUUGCCCUCCGAGCAGUCUGUAGUUCGAUUAGUUGCGCGCGAGCGAAUCGGCUGGCAUGAAAAAUGCACUGGAACCGAGGCUACUCAAAGACGAGUACAUGAGUUGAUCGCCAUAGGUGAUUUUGAGUCUGCCGUAACAUUGCUGUUAGCAACGCCUCCAAAUAAUCCUCUGUUCUACAUGGAUGCGUUAAGAGCUGUGUCUCUAGCCUCUGCUGUAUCUACAGGACUACAUGAAUUAGCUGUUAAGGUGGUUGCGGCAAACAUGGUCGGAACGGAUGAUUCGUUAUCAGGAACGCAUCUUCUUUGCGCGGUUGGUCGGUAUCAGGAAGCUUGCUCGCAGUUGCAAGAUGCAGGGCGCUGGGUAGACGCUGCAACAUUGGCUGCAACUCAUCUGCAAGGUUCAGAUCACGCAAGGGUCUUGGAGAGAUGGGCUCAUUAUGUACUGAAUACCGAACACAACUUGUGGAGGGCCAUGAUACUUUUUGUAGCAGCUGGAGAGCUAGUUGAAGCGCUAGCCACGCUGCGGAACACCAAACAACCCGACACAGCAGCCAUGUUCCUGCUAGCUUGUCACGAGGCAAAAGUAAGUGCGAAAGCAUCUUUACAGGAUCUGAAGGAACCAGAAGUUUUAAUUGGUGAUGACUCGUUCGAUCUACCAGGAGAUCUAGCUCUCCAUCACGAUGAUGUGCAAGCAGUGUGCGAGUACUUUGGGGAGUAUCAAAGGCACCUGGCACAUGCUUGCACAGGCAUUGGAGCUGUCAUGGAUUAAAGCUCGAAACGGCCUUCAUUAUUCAGCAUUCCUCCACUUACGGUUGGAAAGAAUUUUAUUUUUGAUACAAGUGCAUGGUAUAGUUGAGUCAAAGCAUAUGCAAUGCGGUAGUUCUCAUAGCAGGAGCAGAUCAGCUGGAGUUUUUCUUGGUAGACAUCCCAGAGCUGAGAUCGAUCUUUGGCUUUGUACGACGAGGGUUGUAGUGGGGUAAUCUUCUGUGAGCACAUUGCUCAACCUGGCAGCAAAUCCAGUUGUCACUACGAAUCGUUGAAGGUUGUAGAUAUCAUUACAUUAGUCGUACCUUAAAAUUCAGGCAAUCUCAUGAAAGCUCAUGAUGCAUAAUCCUUCCACUGCAGUUCAGCUGGUUUUGCUUUUUGGGUUGUUCUACUAGACAAGCCCAGAAACUUCUCCGUUGCACCUUAUCGAUGCAGUCAAUUGUUCCUGUGCCCUACACAUGGAGCGCAGAUACUGCUGAUGCUCAUUCAUCCAUAAGAAAAGUGUGUCUUGAGUACCUGCAUCAUUGAUGACGCAUAGCUUACUACCAAAAGCUGGUCGAAAGGUUGGAUUUCAAGGGGCCAAGACAUCCAUUUUUCACAUUAACUGCAACUGAUGGACCACAUCAGUACCAGUCUCACUUAUGAUCACUUAGAUCAACUAGAAGCUAUGGUGACAAUUUGAUCUUUCUGUGCAGAUCAUACAAGGUCAUGUCAAAAGCCUGCCUGCUGUUUCACCACCAUCAAUUAUUGCUUGCAGUGAGCACUUGCUGGAACAUCUCAUGAAUUCUGCAUCCUUGGCUGCAUUCUGGGUUCAUUGAUUCUCCUGGUUGCUAUCAUUGUUGCAUGAUGAAUUUGUGGGAAUUGAUUACCACCAUGCCAAGGAACCUGGAAGCAAGACUACAAGCAUGUUGAGAAUUUGGAAUGGAUGACAGAGCAGAUGAACUGCACUUUGAGCAAGGCUGUGCACUUGAUAUAAGCUUAAUCAUACUUUUCAGCACAAUCAUGAGUGUGAAACAGGCAUGAAAAAGGAAUGGAGCAAUUCUUGUCAUCAAAAUAAGAUUACUUCUGUUAC